rnacentral:lncRNA from 1 species
AGAAUUUUAUGUUCUGAAGCUGGAGUGAUUUUUUUUUUUUUUUUUUUUCCUGUUCAAAUUAAGGCCCAGCUAAGUGAAUUUUCCCUGGAGGCUCCAAGAGGCAAAACUCUGGAUCCGAGGUUGUUUUCUCCCAGCAACAGGGAACUACUGCCCCCUAGAGGAUAAAAAGAAUCUCUCACUGCCCCGACUGGAAAAUCGGAAAGUCAUAGGAUUUACCUCAGAGAAUUACGAUGAGGAGUCUUACUCUGAGGUAAGAAAUAUCUUCCUUCUCUGAAGUUAAAAAAAAAUUCUUCUCUAUGUUUGGUAAUAGUUUUGGGAGUGGAUUUUUCAUAUUUAGGCCUUUAAUUUCUUUGUGAUUAUUUGCAUGUAUGGUACAAUAUAGGAAUCCAAUUCCUUUAUUUUUUUAAUUUUUAUUUAAAAUUUUUUAUUGCAAAAAAUAGAUUUAUUAGGAUAGGACGCUUGUGAGAGAUGCAAGCAGGCAGGCAAGGAGGCUCUGCCUAUUUUUAUUUUUAUUUUUUAUUUUUGUCUUUUUAGGCUGCACCCACGGCAUAUGGAGAUUCCCAGGCUAGGGGUCGGAUGGGAGCUACAGCUGCUGGCUUACACCACAGCCACAGCCACAGCCACAGCCACGCUGGAGGCUUAACUCACUGUUAGAGGCCAGGGGUCGAUCCUGCAUCCUCAUGGAUACUAGUCAGAUUCAUUUCCGCUGAGCCACAGUGGGAACUCCCAGUUCCUUUUUUCGUUUUCUGUCAUGUGGAGAGCCAGUCGUCCCAAUACCAUGCAAUGACUCAUCCUGUCAUAGAGAAGAACACAUCUGACUCCAUAUUAGACCUGUUCCUUUUACUUUAACCUUCAUAUUCUUUUUUUUUUUUUUUUUUUUUGCCAUUUC